AUGGCACAGGCGAUCGAGGCUCAGAGGGAGGGCGCAGAGGUGUACCACGGCGCGGCGCUGUGCGCGGAGAAGGCGGUGGAGCUGCUGGCCGAGACCAACAUGCCGCUGGGCCUGCUGCCGCUGGCGGACAUCCAGGAGGUGGGCUACAACCGCGCCACCGGCUUCGUGUGGCUGCGCCAGAAGAAGGCGCUCACGCACACCUUCAAGCAGAUCGGGCGGCAGGUCUCGUACGCCACCGAGGUGACGGCCUUCGUCGAGGACCGCAAGAUGAAGCGCAUGACCGGGGUCAAGAGCAAGGAGCUCCUCAUCUGGAUCACCCUCUGCGACAUGUACAUCGAGAAGGACGAUCCCUCCAAGAUCACCUUCAAGACGCCCACCGGGCUGGGGAGGACCUUCCCCGUCUCCGCCUUCGAGAAGCAGGACGACGGCAAGGCCAAGGCCGCAGCUGCCGACGGCAAGGAGGCCGUCGUGGCCAAGUAG
rnacentral:rRNA from 1 species